CUUUCUUCUGCAAAAGGAAUUUCUUUGUGUGGCAAAAUUCAAAUUGUAAAUGGAUAAUUAAAAUACUUAAAAUACCAACUAACAUGGAUAAUUUAUACUAAAUCUAAAAUCUGUUCUUUUGACAAAUUAGUUGGGGCACUUGCAUCGUUACUGGAACUGUUUUGUCGAAAUAAAUGUAUAUCUUUUUAUGGCGAAAUACCACCAUUCAGUAUAUCCUGACUCUGCCUUACAAUGCAGAAAAUUGUGCAAAUGUUUUGUCAGCAGACAUUCAAACAACCAGGAAGCCCAUUUUAGCUAACCAACAACCCACUAAGCAACCAGGCAAACCAAAAUGGUCUUCAUAUAAAGCCGAUAUCUUUUUGGAUUUUAGCGAAGCUUAACUCAUACGGAUGUUGGAGAUCAAGAACCUAUGGACAUGCAAGGAUUUCUUCCUACUAUACUCCCCUACACACGGACUUUUAUAGCCAACUUUUAUGGCUAACA